GGCCUCGCUACGGCGAGCGGUUGGGCUCAGAGCACGCCGUGUUGCAUGAGGCGGGGUGUGUGGGGGGGUGGUUCUGUGGGGCGGUUCUGAAGGACUCCUGCAGUCAUACUGCUAUGCUAAAGGGACCUUCCAACUCCUCUUUCCCUCAGACAAGUGGCCGUACUAGCAGAAUAGAUGAAAUGAUAUUUACAGGGUGUGCUAAGAAGGAAUAGCCGCACCUAGAAACAAAUGGAGCUGUUUGUAAUGACGGAGUUGGAAGGGAUCUGUGAAGGUCAUGGAGCUCUGAAGGUCAUCCAGUCCAACCUGCUGCUACUGCAGAUCCCGAGAGUAGAUUACACAGGAAAGUGUCCAGGCAUGUUUUGAGUAUUUCCACAGAAUCACAGAAUGACCCGGGUUGGAAAGGACCUCAAGGAUCAUGUAGUUCCAACCCCCCUGCCUGGCAGGGCCUGAGAAGGAGACCCACAACAUCUGUGUGUGGACCGUCCCAGGGCUCUGGCACCCUCACAGCAAAGAAGUUUUUCCUCAUGUUUGGUUCCUGGGAGCCUCUAUGGGAUUUACACCAAGUGCAGUAGAUGCUAUGAAAGCCCAAAGCCUCCCUUGUGCAGUGAGGCAUUUGCUCAAGCCUUACCUCUGCCAAAGGCAGGGGAUCCUGGCUGUGAAUGACACAGAAUAGGGCCUUUAAAACUAAGGAAAAAGGGAGUUUUGUUUAAUGAGAUGAAAAAGGAGGGUGCUGGUAGAGAAAUCACGCAGCAUCAGCAACAAGAGAGGGGAACAGUCUUUGCAACAGCAUUUCUGAACUGGGCAUCAUUUCUCAAGGCGAAUUAAAGUUUGUUGCCAUCGUUGAGACUGAAAUGAAUUGACACUGAAAUGAAGGAUGGCUGUCGAGGAUUUUCUCAGAAAGCCAAAUGUUAUUGACAUCAUGCAGGAAGAAUGACAAGAUAGAGACACGAACUGAUCAUAUAUCUCCAUAUCUCUCUGUACACUCUCAUCCAGAAGGGCACUGCUGCUGCUGAGCAAGCAGGUGCCGUCAUUCAGCGUGAGCAGGAGAGCUGGCUGGGGGCUCUGCAGAGCUCUGCUCAGAUAGUUCCACCCUCCCUCCCCCAGCAUUACACAAUGCAGAAAGAGGAUAAAACUUUAAUUGGAACAAAAGCAUAGCAGGCUUUGUAGCUGUUAUGGUUAUAAAUUACAUAUGAGGAAUUUUCCUCUAAAUGACAGUCUUCGUGAGACAGUGUUUGGGUAGAUGGACCUAGGUCUGCAUAUAAGGAAAUCUGAUGACUCUCUGUGAAAGCUUACUUCAUGGCUGGCCAGGUCAUUAAAUUCUUUUCUGUGUGACCAGUUUCCCCAUGUGCCUGAGAUAGUGCUGGCUAGACAUCUUUGUGUUAGAGCUGAGAUGCUAAAUGAAGUGCUAAUUGUUAUUACUCUUUGACGUCAUUAGUGUGGAAUAUAGAGCCAACUCCUAACUGUUCUGUAUAAAGGGCAGCUCAGGACUGUGCAAAUAUGGGUGCAGGAUGCAUUAGAGGAAGAGCCACGGACAAGGGACAUAGGUAACCAGCUCCAUUAAGUCAGCACUCAAUAGUUACUCCCAGUCACUCUAGUCUCUGGGGUUUUAUAAGGCUGAGUGUCUUUCCAGGCCUGUGCUAAUUCCAUGCAUCCAACUGCAUUAAAGCAAAUAUAUCUCAUGAAAACAGGCAUAUACCAUACAAGAGGUCAGCAGUCAUCUCCUUCCCAGUCCACCCAGUCCGUGGGGCUUCUGGCACCUGUUCCAGUGGUUUUUUGUUCAUAAGUAUUAGGACUGUUUGUUUACAAAGUGCUGCAGUUACCAAAACAGAGUCUACAACCCUGUUUCCUCCCAAGACUUCUGUAUUGUAGAAACUUCAGCAUCUUCAUGUGCUUCCUCAUGGUGUCCUUGAAGAUCAUCUUCGAAGAAAGCAGGCAAUAUUGCUAAUCAUUUCUUGCUUAUGACACAUUGAAAUCUUAAAGAAAGUUUACCGCUGAUGGGAGAUUUAGGCAGUGAAUCCUUGUCUUUUCCACAAAGAGUGCCAGCUGUGAUACUUCAGAUUGUGCUUUCUGUGGUGUGGCCUGGAGCCGACUAGGAACAGGACUGUGACUGUCAAGUGAUUUUGCAUAUGCCACAGAGUCUUUAGAUACUCAUAAUCUGGAUCAAAUUAGAACCAAAAAUCUGCUGGAAAAAGAUCACAUGGGACAUCAGCAAUUCCCUGAGCCAGCCACAUUCCUAAAGAGUUUAUUAUAAUAUCUACCUCUCUAUCCCGAAAGAAAGAAGAAAACCUAAAUAAUGCUGGUUAGUAGCUAUGUGCCACAUAUGAAAAUACACACAUUUGUGCUCCUCCUCCCAUUCCUGUGCCAGAAAUGAACUUUUUAAAUACUCUUUCACUACAGCGGAGUGGACAUCAGUCAGUAGCAGUGUUGAAACAAACAGAGAUACUGUGGCACAAGAAGAUAUUUAAUAAAAUUGGAAUGGCAGCUGUACAAAAAUUAAGGAUGAAUCAAUUAUUCCUAAAUGGAAACAUUCAAAAUUAGCAGGGGAAAAAAAUAUUUUCAGGCUUCCAAAAGGGCAUUAUAAACAAAGGAGAAAAGAAGUUCAGAUCAGAAUAAAUAGAGCAGACAGGGAUUUCAUAAGCCUGUGUUGAUUUUAUGCAUGCUUCUGAAGUAGAAAAAUCUCAAAUAAGCAGUUUCUUAAGCUUAGUCCAAGCCAUAAAGGGAUACGCUUCAGGAAAUUUAAUGUAGAUACAUGGUGAGACAAUUACACAAAGGGCACUUGGUACCAUCACAAGUUCUACCCUAUAAUAAGAGACUCUGUUUCCCAGUUCCCAACCUGCCGUCAAGUCACAGUUAACAUCUGCAUUCGCACCUGAAAACUAGAAAACACACCACGCUCCUCAGCACAGACGUUAAUGUUAAUUCACGUGACAGUUCUUCUCUUUUUUUCCUUCACCCUUUUUUUAUUCUCUUUCUUCCUCUUUCUUUUCCUCUUUCUUUUUCUUGUAUCAUUCUUACCUAAAAGCUUAGCUCAGACAAAAUAACUCGCCAAAAACAUGCUAUGUGAUAAUUUGCUUUCUUAAGAAAGAUUAAAAAAAAAACCCACGUCCACAGAGACAGCUCUUUCCAAUCCCUGUUCCUUGCUCCAAUCCCUCUGAAUGAUGCAAGUGUUGUUUUUUUCCUUUGGGGUUUUAAAUGUUAUUUAGCUUGUCUACAGUGGAAACAAAGUCAUCAAAACCAGUGCUUUUAUUCUGUUUCUUUAUUCUGUUUACUCUGUAUUUUCUGAGAGAUGUAUUGUUCUAAGGUGUCGUUUUUCCUUAUCCUUCUUUUCCCAGACAGGAACAUGUAGAGUUAAACCACCUUAGUGGACAAAUUUCCAGUCUCCCAUUUAACCAGAGACGGUUUGAAAUCAUAGCAUGUUAUUGCUGCAGUUUCUGCAGCCCCAUCCCAGCAAAUGGCAGCCCCUCAUGUGGAGGCUAUGAGCAUCCCAAGCCUGGGUUCAGCUCCAGAAAGCAUCCCAGCAGCCGUGCAGACCUCUGCGAAGAGCCACAUGCCUCAACAAAGAAACCAUAAGGACUCCAUCCUCUGAAAUGCGAGUACAAAAUGAAUCAUUUUAAUGAAACAAAAGACAUUCAUUUUCAAAAAAUUAUACAGAAGCAACACAGUGGAAAACUUCAUUAGGAAAAAGAUGAUGUACAUCAAGCUUCAGUCCCAUGUUGUUAUGACAGUGAAAUAACCUACUGAAGCAUGGUAAUUUUAUGUACCUAGUGUAAAUACAUGCAUACGAACACAUGAAUCAGUGAAGUAGAGAUUUUUUAGAUACAUAUACAUACCUACACACAUGCAUACGUAUCCAAAAUGGUAAAGGUGAACAUUACUCCAGAGCUGUGACUGAUAUUAUUCCCAAAAUAGCUCUGUCAGGGAUGAGUGCAGCUCAAACCAGUCAGGGUUGGAGGCUUACAGAACCAACACUGAUCACCUGGGUCUACGGCUGGGAUGAAAUCACGCCUACAGGUGAAAAAUACAAAGUAUGCUGAAAGCUGGUUGGUUGCAUUUACUGAGCCACAGGCACCACAGACUAUUUUAAUGAACAUUUCCAGUGAAAUCUCUGUAUUUACUGGCUUUGACAGAUGAAAAAUAUUGCACAAGCUAUUGUGUGCCUGUGCAUUCCUUGAGUGUGAUGCUGCAUGUUUUUUCUUGUCUUGUCAUUUGUUUCAUUUAACUUUCUCAUUAAUGGCACAAUUGCUUUGCUUUGUUAAAAUCCGUUUUCUGAGAAGGGAGCGUUACUUUCUUUUUAAGCUUCUUGCCAACAGAAGUUUUUCAAUUCAUAUGGUACAGAGGAAUGGUGUACGAGGUCGUUUUAGAGGGAAAAGAAAUAUCUCAAAUGAAAAGCACAAAUCCACUUACUACAUUUGCUUUUGACUUGAAAUGAAAAGUUAACAUGAGAGGUGCACAUAGUUCAUCGGCACACUGAACAAAUGCAUAAUUAACAUGUGGAAUAAGCAGUGUUGUUGUCAACACUUUCACAUAUGUUACUAUGAAACUUAAAUAUAUUUGUUUAGUUACAGAGGUACAGGAAAAUCCAAGUAAAUGCAGCCUACAGUUGAGAUAUAAGUCAGCUUGACUAAAUGAAUAUUAAAAAUGAGAGAAUCUCAUCAGUUUCCUUGACUACCUUUAACAUAUUAUGACAGCUUAAUGGGUGCUGCAUAAUUCCAAUCUGCCCUUGCACUCUGAGAAAUUAUUACUUGGUGGAGAAGUAUCCGUUGUGGCCGUUGUGUAAAUGCUUUAUUCAAUCACCAGUAGAAAUCAAAAUGUAGGGGUUCAUUAGAAGAUAGAUAGAAAGUGUAGAUUUCAGUGUUUUCUAUUAAUCCAGCAUGCAGGACUGACAGAACCUUGUUUGAAGACCACAUAAUAAGAGGAAAAAUUUAAAAAAAAAAAAAAAAAAAAAACAAAAAAACCAAAACUAUAUAGCAAUACCAUGUGGCUUCUGAUUUGGGAACUACAAUUUAGCCUAUUAGACAUGGAUCUGUUCCAAAAGUGCA